CAGACACUGACUUACUGCCUGUGGUUUCUGCCUGGAUGAUCAUGGUACUCUGUCCGAAGGAGGCCGGGGUCUUGUGGGAAAAGGUAGCCCCGCUGCUGUAAUUCAGCACUGG